UCGAACUCAUUAUAGUUUUACACAAUUUUUCAAUUAUAAUUUUUUAUAUUUCCAUCUCAAAAAUUUAUAAUUUAAUCUACUAAAAUAAAAGUACAAAAUCUAAUCUAUUAAAACAAAACAAAAUUAGAUUACUCCUUAGUUUUACCACUUAUUUACAAUGACAUGCCAUUGAGAUAUUUAUUAAACAUAUAUUUAAAUAUGUUUGUCUUUUUUCUAAUUUAAAUUAUAGAUUUUUUUAAUUGAAUCUUAACCAAAAUAAAUUUUCUAAUAUAUUUCGUAUUAAAGUAUUAACGUAUUAAAUGUUUUUUUGAUAUUUAUUAGUAAUCAAUAAUAAAAUAAAAACCAUAUAUCAUAAUCAGUUUAUAUAAUACAUAAAUAAAAAUUGAACAACUGAAAAAAAAAACUCCCAAUACCCUUCUUUUAAUCACGGUUGGAUAGUUGCCCCAAAAAAAAAAAAAAUUCACGGUUGGAUCGAGGGUCAGAUACCCUCUUAGUCUUACACCAUGCUUUAUAUAUAUAUAGUGUCUACAAAAGACGGUGGAACCGAAUAAGUGAAUUUAGUCAAUGCUUCGUUUUGGGUGAGUGCUACUCGUAAACAAAAUAUCACAUCUCUUAAUUUUCUUCUUCAUAAUCAAUCAUGAGGUUCACUAGAAUUUAAAUGCCCAUCGUCAGCUAACUUAUCAAUUUGCGGGUGUCGAAAAAUCAACCAUCUGAAUUUCAAGUCCUUUAUAUCAC
rnacentral:lncRNA from 1 species